CGACACGAUUUUAUUUUGCAUAAUGGUUAUUUGUUUCAUGGAUUGCAGUGGUGCAUUCUAGACUGUUCACUAAGGUAGCAAAUCAUUAGUGAACUUCAUAAUGAGGGGCAUUUUGGGCGAGAUAAGAUAUUGACGUUGGUCUUUUCUAAUUAUUAUUGGUCCAAAUUGAGCAGUGACAUAGCGCAUUAUGUGGAAUGGUGUUAUAUAUGUCAGAAGUCUAAAGGAGCUCUUACUAAUGCUGGACUAUAACGCCAUUACCUGCACCUGAGGCUCCUUGGUUUGAUAUGAGCAUGAAUUUUAUAUUGGGCUUACCUUGUACACAACGGGCGAUGGAUUCCGUUCUUGUUGUGGUUGACAGGUUUUCAAAGAUGGCUCAUUUUGUGGUUUACCGAAAGAUGAUGGAUGCUACUCGAAUUGCCCAUCUUUAUUUCAAAGAAAUUGUGCGUCUACAUGGUGUUCCCUAAUCAAUCACUUCUGACUGUGACCAAGUUUAUGAGUCAUUUCUGGUGGAGCUUGUGGGAGAAACUGGGGACGAAAUUGAAUUUUAGUAGCGUCUACCACCCCCAAAACAGAUGGUCAGACAGAGGUGGUAAAUUCGAGUUUGGGAAAUCUUUUGAGAAGUUUAGCAGGGACUAAAUCGAAACAGUUGGAUUUGGCAUUGCCUUAGGCAGAAUUUGCCUAUAAUCGAUCGAAGAACAGAACCACAGGAUUGAGCCCAUUUGAGGUUGUCUAUGGUCGUAAACCAUCUUGAUUACUUGACUUAACUCUUAUCCCAUGUGUGGGACGUUUCAAUCACAAGGCUGAUGAGAUGGCAGAACAUCUUCGGGGUAUCCAUGAACAGGUGAAGUUGUCCAUGCAGAGAGUAAUUCCAAGUACAAGGCUUAGGCAGAUAGUCAUCGUCGUCAGGUACUCUUUGAUGUUGGUGAUUUUGUGUGGGCAGUAUUAACACAUGACUGUUUUCCAACUGGGGAGUAUAAUAAGCUUAAGGAGCGAAAGAUUCGGCCGUGUGAAGUGCUCCAGAAAAUCAAUGAUAACGCUUACAGGUUGCAUCUUCCCAGCCAUUUGAAAACUUCCGAUGUCUUCAUUGUGAAACAUCUAAGUCCCUGUUUUGUGGAGUCUGAUGAAGCUAAUGUUAACUCGAGGGUGAGUUCUUCCCAACCUGAGUCUAGUGACGCUGAUCUGUCAGAUAGCUCAAUGAUGGCGCUGAGAUACCAUGAGAUGGCGGAUAGGGGCAAAGAUGGAAAAUAAAUGCAAUCUUUCCUUAAUUGGGGUAAUUUUGACACGUUUUUGGUAAUUUGACCAUAACUUUGGC
rnacentral:lncRNA from 1 species